CUGACCGUGCAAAGGUAGCGUAAUCACUCGUCCUUUAAAUGGGGUCAAGUAUGAAAGGCUAAACGAGGGCUUAACUGUCUCCCCUCCCAGGUCAGUGAAAUUGAUCUAUCCGUGCAGAAGCGGGUGUGAAAAUACAAGACGAGAAGACCCUUUGGAGCUUUAGGUACAAGGUUUAACCACGUUAAGCAAGUCAAUAAAAACACAACCCCCGUGGCAACUAAGACUUUACCUUUGGUUGGGGCGACCACGGAGUAAAAUUAAGCCUCCGAGUGGACUGGGGGAUCCCUAAAACUAAGAGACACACCUCUAAGUCACAGAAAUUCUGACCAAAAAUGAUCCGGCCAUCAAGCCGAUCAACGAACCAAGUUACCCUAGGGAUAACAGCGCAAUCCUCUCCCAGAGCCCAUAUCGACGAGGGGGUUUACGACCUCGAUGUUGGAUCAGGACAUCCAAUGGUGCAGUUC
rnacentral:rRNA from 1 species